rnacentral:lncRNA from 1 species
CUCUGUUUGUUUUGUUUGCCUGCAAAGGUGGAGAACCCAAGGGGACAAUGCUGAAUUUUCAAUCAUUCCACAUUCCAAAAGCUACACCACACACAAAGAAAUGACGACUGCACUCAGCUGAUGCUAUAACUUUUGUUUGUUCUGGUUGCUAUUUAUAGUUCAACCCUGCUCAAAUCAGAUCCAGCAGACAGUGAGACCACAAUGGCAUCAGGGAACCUAAAAAUACCAUUUCUCUGAGUUAGUAGGUUACAUUAUCAGGACCUGCUUUAUACAGAGAAAUUUAGGAUGCUAAAUUUCUUUAUGAAUAUAACAACCUGUUUAGAGAAGCUGGGACCCCCAUUUUUGAAGAGCUAAGUUUGGAAAGAGGACCGGACAACGACAACAUGUUAGACUUUUGCAUCCUGCUCUUCAAAGAAAGUAAUGACAUGGUGUUCAGUUGUUUUUCAGCAGAGCUAUACCCAGAGAGCAAAAGCUGAGUUGGCCCGUCUCUUCAGAAGUCAGAGACCAACUUCUCUCAGAACUGUGCCUGCUCUUUCUUCAAAGUUCCAAGCCCAUGCACAGAAUCCUCUCUUGCCUCAGCCACUCUGCAGUCUCUGACUCUACAACUCUGGGCCUUCUACCAAAAACCAAAUGGGCUUUUUCUUGGACCCUGACAGGUUAGGAGAAGGAAGCACACUCCUUGCUCAGUGAGUACUCAAUAUUCCUCUGCUGCCACCA